UACGGAGGAUCCAAGCGUUAUCCGGAUUUAUUGGGCUUAAAGGGUGCGUAGGCGGAAUAGUAAGUCAGUGGUGAAAACCUGCAGCUUAACUGCAGAACUGCCAUUGAUACUGCUAAUCUUGAGUACAUUUGAUGUGGGCGGAAUGUGUCAUGUAGCGGUGAAAUGCUUAGAUAUCGUCAAGAACACCGAUAGUGAAGACAGCUUACUAGGCUACAACUGACGCUGAGGCACGAAAGUGUGGGGAGCAAACAGG
rnacentral:rRNA from 1 species